rnacentral:rRNA from 1 species
UACGUAGGCAGCAAGCGUUGUUCGGAGUUACUGGGCGUAAAGGGUGCGUAGGCGGUUGUUUAAGUUUGGUGUGAAAUCUCCCGGCUCAACCGGGAGGGUGCGCCGAAUACUGAAUGACUAGAGUGCGGGAGAGGAGAGUGGAAUUCCUGGUGUAGCGGUGAAAUGCGUAGAUAUCAGGAGGAACACCGGUGGUGUAGGCGGCUCUCUAGUACGGUACUGACGCUGAGACGCGAAAGCGUGGGGAGCGAACAGG